GACGAACGCUGGCGGCGUGCCUAACACAUGCAAGUCGAACGAGGUCCAUCCUUCGGGAGAAGACCUAGUGGCGAACGGGUGAGUAACACGUGAGGAACCUGCCCCGGAGACCGGGAUAACCACUCGAAAGAGUGGCCAAUACCGGAUGCCCCCAUCCUGCCGCAUGACGGGAUGAGGAAAUGGAUGCCGCGCCGGGAGGGCCUCGCGGCCUAUCAGCGAGUUGGUGAGGUAACGUCUCACCAAGGCAUCGACGGGUAGCUGGUCGGAGAGGACGAUCAGCCACACUGGGACUGAGACACGGCCCAGACUCCUACGGGAGGCAGCAGUGGGGAAUCUUGCGCAAUGGGCGAAAGCCUGACGCAGCGACGCCGCGUGGGGGAUGAAGGCUCUCGGGUUGUAAACCCCUUUCAGCAGGGACGAAAAUGACGGUACCUGCAGAAGAAGCUCCGGCUAACUACGUGCCAGCAGCCGCCGUAACAC
rnacentral:rRNA from 1 species